CCUACGGGGUGCACCAGUGGGGAAUAUUGCACAAUGGGGGAAACCCUGAUGCAGCAACGCCGCGUGAGUGAAGAAGGCCUUAGGGUUGUAAAGCUCUUUCACCGGUGAAGAUAAUGACGGUAACCGGAGAAGAAGCCCCGGCUAACUUCGUGCCAGCAGCCGCGGUAAUACGAAGGGGGCUAGCGUUGUUCGGAAUUACUGGGCGUAAAGCGCGCGUAGGCGGAUAGAUAAGUCAGAGGUGAAAUCCCGGGGCUCAACCCCGGAAUUGCCUUUGAUACUGUUUAUCUUGAGUGCAGAAGAGGUAAGUGGAAUUCCGAGUGUAGAGGUGAAAUUCGUAGAUAUUCGGAGGAACACCAGUGGCGAAGGCGGCUUACUGGUCUGCAACUGACGCUGAGGCGCGAAAGCGUGGGGAGCAAACAGGAUUAGAUACCCGGGUAGUC
rnacentral:rRNA from 1 species